ensembl:lncRNA
CGGGCCGUGCCGGGCCCGGAGCGUGCUUAGUCCCCGCGCGGCAGGAGCGCCGGUGAAGGCCGUGGCGGGGCGCGGCAGCUGCCGGCAUGGCGGGGCCCGUGGGGCCCGGAGCCGGCCCUGCCUGCAGCCUCCCGGGCGAUCGGCUCCCUGGGCCGGUGCUGCCACCCGUGUGAGCCCCCAGCCUUGCGUUUCCUGGCGCGGCCUUGUUCGCCGGUGCUGCGCGGCCUAAGCCGGGAGACGCAACUGAGCCCUGAUGCGGGUGUGGAGGCUUUUCCUCCUUGCCUUUCAGCAGUUUGCCCCAUGAGCUCAUGCUGCUGUGACCCGGGUCUGGAGAAGAACUGCUCUUCCUUCUUCUUUCCUGUACUUCAGUAGCUGAUAAGAAAGCCUGGGAACUGGGAAGGAGGUCAACCCUCCCGUCAGAUGUAGGGCUUGGUUCAGGGGAUGAGAGUCCUGUCAGGCAGUUGACACUACAGGAUGAGUCACUAGGCUUGCUGAAUCCAAGUUGGAGGCUCAGAUGUGGGCAGUGCACAGAAAGAGGAAUUGCUCUUUGAGUGCAAGCUCUCAGGUUCCUGGAGCAGCAGCACAGCGUUGCUAAUGACACAGCUGUGCAGAUGGUGACUUUCUGGGUAACCAUGAGUGGAAGGGGUAGAGCUGUGGGUGAGAGUUCUUGGCUGUCUGAGCAAUAACUGUAGAAUCUUCUAAAGUUACAUAAUCUGAAAUGGCAAGAUUUUGAUCUUACUUGAUGAGUUGAAGGUAUCCCUCCUUCCUGUUCUUCUACUGCAAACUGGAGAGAAAAGAGGGCUAGAAUGAAAAAUGACAGAAACCAUCAAAAAUACAGAGCUAUUCUGAAGAAAGAAAAGCGGAAAAAAAAGCGUCAGGCACUUGCCAAACUGAGAGAUUCAGAAGCUACAGAAAAAGAUGAAUCAAUGUCUGAGGAGGAAGAAGAGGAACUGGAAGAAGAGGAAGAAGAAGAAGAAGAAGAAAAAAAACUUGAGGCAGAAAGACAAAAACUACAUGAGCAGUGGUUGCUAAGAGAAGAAAAGGCCCAAGAAGAGUUCAAACUUAAGAAAGAAAAAGAAGAGGCUGCAAGAAAACGUCAAGAAGAAGAAGAGGUGAUGUAUCAAAUGAGGAUUAUAGUUGUGUCUGGCAGUAAGGAAAAUUUACUGUAAUAUGUUCUACUUUUCCUUAGCAGACCUAGUUUUCUCAACAUUGAUAUGUUUGAAAGUAUACGCUCUUCUGUCUUUUUUUUUCCACUGUAGAAGAGCAAAAUUAACACUUUUCUAGUUAAAUUUCUUUUUAAAAAAAGGUUUUUCAAAAAGGUUUUUCUCCAGAGAUUUGUUUACUUAUGACUGAAUGAAAACUCAAUGAUCAAAGAGUACACAACAUGAUAGUUUUUAACUUGGCUACAGUGAUUUUAAAGCAUUCAUUCGUUUUCUGUAUUUUUUUUGUCCUAAAGAGAAAGAUCAAAGAAGAAUGGGAAGAACAACAAAGAAAAGUAAGAGAAGUGGCACAGCAGAAGCAACAGCAGAAGAGAGAAAGAGAGGUGAUUCCUGUAGUGGGAGGAUAAACAUGUUACAUAUCCUCUCACAUUAUCAGAUGCAACAGUCUACGCAUGUUAAAGAAGCAUUUUAUUCUAUUCUAAUUAGGAAUGCAUAAAUGUUACUUCCUCUCUCCAUUCUAUCUAAAUUGCUGAAAAUAUACUUCAUCGAUAUAGAUGAAUCUAAUGAAUUCAUACACCUGGAAGGAUAACUAAUUUUAAUGUAUCUGGUUGCUCGUAAUACGUUUCCUCUGUAGUUUUUUUAUGUCAGCUAAACAUGAAGGUGCAUUCUCAAAGCAAGUUCUGAUAUGUUCCCUUUUUGCAUUUUGUGUUAAAGAUAAUCCUUAUUUAAUGUCUUAUAUGAACACAGUCAGUGUUGAAGAAAAUUCCUGAUGAGGGUAUGGAAUAUGGCAUUACAUUGCUGCUGUUCCUUAACAUAGUUCUUAAUCAAAAGAUAUAUUGCAGCUCUGCUUUACCUGACUCAUCCAACAGGACGUAUCUUUUUUUUUUCAGAGCUCCUUGGGUGGGAAAGAAAAAUAUACUGAAGAUAUUAGUCAUUGAUGGAAUUUCUGUUAACUGUACAUUCUUCCUAAGUUUUAGAAUUUGAAUGACUGGGAUGUGAGAUGCCCUGU